UAUUACAAACUAUUUUAUAAGUGUUGUGCAAACUGUUCAUUAAAAGCCAGUGGUCUAGUGAGCUAUAGAACAUUUAUUUAUUAUUUAACCCCUUAAGGACACAUGACGUGUGACAUGUCAUGAUUCCAUUUUAUUCCAGAAGUUUGGUCCUUAAAGGGUUAAAGCUCUGACCUCAAUCGGCAAAACAAUAUUGCAAUGGUGUCCAUUGCAAUCUGCUAUCUAUACUUGCUGCUCUCAAAAAUUCUGAAUAUGUUCAGAGAUUUCUUGGGCAAUAAUAAAUCCCCAAAAAACAACAACUUUGCAUUUAUACUAAACCUGCCUGUUGUAAAUGGAUUCUGUAUAG